UAGGGAAUCUUCGGCAAUGGGGGCAACCCUGACCGAGCAACGCCGCGUGAGUGAAGAAGGUUUUCGGAUCGUAAAGCUCUGUUGUAAGAGAAGAACGUGUGUGAGAGUGGAAAGUUCACACAGUGACGGUAACUUACCAGAAAGGGACGGCUAACUACGUGCC
rnacentral:rRNA from 1 species